rnacentral:lncRNA from 10 species
UUAAUUGUUGAGUAUUAAUAUGGAAUUUCAUUCCGGUGCAUUGUAUGCAUGUACUCAACUAGCAAAAAAAAAUGUAGGUCUUUAAUUGUCAUUAGUUUUUAGAAGAUGAAGGACAGAUAUUAUUUACGAUAAGCAAAUUAAAACCAAGUGACUUUCCUGAAACUUCACUGUGGCUUGAAAGUAAACCAUAGUUUAUGUGAUUGUCUUUAGGGUCUCCACGUAUUCUUUUCUGACACACUUCAUUUCAAAAUAUCUCAUCAAGAUAAUAAAUAAAAAAGAAAAAUACACACUGAUUACAUAAAAUAUAAUUUUUGCUACAUACAUUGUAAAUAAAAUAGUAGCCUAUAAAAUUAAGGGUUUCAUUUUUUCAAGUAAG